UACAGAGGGGGCAAGCGUUGUUCGGAAUUACUGGGCGUAAAGGGCGCGUAGGCGGCCAACUAAGUCAGACGUGAAAUCCCUCGGCUCAACCGGGGAACUGCGUCUGAUACUGGAUGGCUCGAAUCCGGGAGAGGGAUGUGGAAUUCCAGGUGUAGCGGUGAAAUGCGUAGAUAUCUGGAGGAACACCCGUGGCGAAGGCGGCAUCCUGGACCGGUAUUGACGCUGAGGCGCGAAAGCCAGGGGAGCAAACGGG
rnacentral:rRNA from 1 species